rnacentral:rRNA from 1 species
GACACGACUCUCGGCAAUGGAUAUCUCGGCUCUCGCAUCGAUGAAGAGCGCAGCGAAAUGCGAUAUGUGGUGCGAAUUGCAGAAUCCCGCGAACCAUCGAGUCUUUGAACGCAAGUUGCGCCUGAGGCCAACCGGCCAAGGGCACGUCCGCCUGGGCGUCAAGC